rnacentral:sRNA from 1 species
AGAUACCAGGGUCAAAAGACCUAAAACCACAUGAGUCUGCUCAUAGGUGGGUGAAAGACCUUGGGGGAUUGUGGGAGUGCGCAGCACGGAACAAUCCGUAGGUAUCA